GGGUGGUGUAGGAUGGUGUGUCCUUUCCCACUCCACCCCUUCAAAACGCAUAGGUGCCCCAUCAUUAUUGGUGAUAUCCAAAAAAUGAGUGGCAUAUCCGCUCCUUCAUCCCGUCCUCCUCCCGCAUCCUCAUGGUCGGCAGCGGCAAUGCCCGUACAGCCCCCUCCUCCUUCACCUACUUCUUCUGAUUGAAUGAUUCAUUGACUGUUUCAUCUUUUAGUCUGAAACUUGCGAUCUCUGUAAUGGUGGAGUGCUUGUCAUUUGGGUGUCGAUUAAGUUGGCUGGGUGUUCGCUGCGUCAAUUGGGCUGCUGAAUUAUUGCCAAGACUGGAUUUUCAACUGAGAUUUUUUAGGGAUCCAUCAUCAAAUGGUGCUUGGACAAGAUUUCGGGCUCCAACUCGAUAAGGACCGUAAGGCCUAGUGACCUGAGCGAUGCCCAACGAGGCCCAAUCUAGUCAUUCACGAGACAAGUUCAGUCCUCUCAGAGAGGCCCACAAGCGAAGGCCUUCAACAAGGGUUAUUAUAAGGAACUUCCCAUAUGGAAAUAUACUGAAUAUCUCGUGAUUGUGCUCACACUGACUUGAUCGUCGGAGAUGGAGAUCGGGCACCACCCCGAUCUCCCGUUGUGCAUGUGUUUGAGGCUGAAUGUGGACUGUUGAUCCAGUUUCUUCGUCAACGAGUCGUACAUGAAUCACCCGUGGUUCGGGCCUGAAUUUUGUGGUCCUAACAUUCUUAACAAUGACUUCAUACUUAGAAUUCGCAUGUCCUUUGACUUGUUUCCAUCUCUUGUUGUAUUAAAUUUAAACAUCAUUGAUAGAGAUUAUAGAUUACAGGUUUUGUGCCGAUAUAGUACUGCAAAAUAUUAAUGUAAACAAGAUCACAAGAGCCAGUUUUCAAUUCUGACAAAAUUAAGGGAAAGUUGUUCUAUUAAUCAACCUUGAUGCAAUUACCAAAAUUAUCAAAUGAAGCAUCUUUCUUUGCUAAUGAUCACCCUUUUACCUUUCUACUGAUGUCAUUUGUUCAGGGGUUGAAAAUAUCAUGCGGACGCAUAAUCGCAGUUGGUAUGCUAACUGAGACUUGAAUAAGACAGGAGGAAAAUCAAUGCUACCUAUAAGCCCUUUCUCUUCUAGGCUCAUUCAUCAGGAUAUGUGCCUUUUAGAGUGCAUGCCUGCAUGGUAUUAGAACUGAGAUUCAUUGAAUUCAAAGACCAGUGCUUUUCACGCUCGCAGAAUUGGAUGAAUUUAUUUAAUGAUUGCUAUUGGCUUGCGUGCAUUAAGGUACUCGAUCGCAUAUUCUCCUUUAAUUUAUAAUUGAAGCCCGAUCUCAUUCCUAUAUGUUUAUUGUUAAUGUAAUAUGAAUGUUCUAUUCUCUGAACCUGCGUUUAUAUCGUAUGGUUUAUGGGACCAAGUUUAAAGUAGAUUCUACCAAAAAGAAUAUCAAAUUUUACAAAGUAGUGAAAUACUUUUUUCCAAUUAAUACUUAUCCUGAAAUUCAUGUUUUAUGAAUAGGAGGACUCCCUAAUUUUUCAACUGUUAAAAUAUGAAUUUCUUGGGUUCUUUAAUAUAAGUAAUGCAUAAAGAAUUUCUCAGUUUUUAUUUCCAAAAAAAGGCAUUCUUCUCAUAAAUUAUGUGAAUUUACCGUUAGUACUGUACUCAUAUAUUCAUUAUAAUGGUUUCUAGGAUGGUUAACUAUAAUUAAUCAAAACUACUGUGCCAUUGGCAAAAAAAAAUUAUUGAUUCGUGAUUAUAUGAAAAUUGUUUAUUAUCUAUUCCUUGAUAUGAUGCUUCCACUUGAUGUAGCUUAGAUAAUUGUGCCAGUUUUGAAGAGUAAUUGCAAUAUGUGACGAACACCCUGUCUCAUAUCAUCUCCACUCCCUGUCACAACGGUAAGAACUUGGUAAAAAGAUAAUCUCCACAUUCUCUUCAUAAAUUGAACCUAAAUGCUCUUAUCUUGCAACCAAAUCAUGAUAUCCAAGUCUCCUUGAUAUGCCUUAACGCAAAAGCUUGACGUUCCAACUCAGUCCCAAAGAAUUAAUAUGCUUCGUACUUUCUCCCUUGUCACUUUAUGUACCUUCCUUUUCGAAAUGAGUACCUAUGCCCACCCGGGUUAGUUGUCAUUCUUAUUUUUCGUUCUCGGUUUCCUUAACUGCAAGAAAAGAAAGAAAGAAAAAUUGAUACUUUGCUUAAAGUUAUGUGGUGAAAGUUUUCAUUUUGGGGAUCUCUCAAAGUCUGAGCAGUUUAUAAACUAAGCCAUGAUAGGCUCCAUAUCUUUUCCCUCUGCUCUUGGCAACAAGUCUGUAGGUGCCGAAGACCACGAGGCUGAAAUGGAAGAGGAUAGUGCAAAGCAUGCAAGUGUAUCAUAAAUAGAGGCUAGAGAUCCUACUUUGGCCGAUCAGCAAGUAAAAGGAAGAGAAUCCUGAGGAACGGGAAAUGGGGCGGGGGGAUGGUUUAUCUCCCAUUUGUUUGAUGUGUUUUGGUGUUAUGCCAAUUUAGGAAGAUUUUAUGAUUUGAUUAUUUUGAAUUGGCGGUAUCAUACCUAUAUCAAAGAUCAGUCUAGCUAGAUGGUACAUAUCAACCCAUAUGAAAGAAAACCAUAAGUAAUAUGUAUAUUCUAUCUGGAAAGCUAGGAAUGAUUAUCCAUGGUUACACUCACAGAAGAAGGAAUUUGGAAUGCUAUUCGAGGGAUGGUGCAGGGAACGCUGUUGGGUGCUAGGCAAGUGUUUCUGCAGGCAAACACAGAACACCGGAAGAAGCUUGGGGAGUUACAGUAACAGUAUUGCUUAUCACUUAGAAAAAGAAUAUGCUAAACUUGUCCCUCUUUGAACCGAGGGAGCUAGUUCUUAGUAAUUAUGAUGAUCAUACAAGUAAGACCCUAGUGUUGAAUUUGAUUGGAGAUUGUAAUUAAUUUAUCAAAGUCGUACUUCUCCUAAUUAAAAGAAAGGCGGAAACCGGAGAAGUCAAUUCCUCUCAAUUAUAUUAUUAUAUAUCUGGAGAAAUAUUCUCAGA